AAAACCACGAAAGAUUUAUUAGGAAAUCAGUUAUCGCAAGUAUGAGAUAUUACGAAAGAUGUGAUAUCGUAAUUAAUGUAGUAUCAGUAGUGUCAUUGGGUUUUUAUUUCAAAUCGAUUAAUUUAUGCAAGUAGUUUUUCUAAACGGUCAUGAUUGCCCGUUUUAUUUGAUAUACUUUUUCUUUAUUCAAUUAUACAACACUUUUUAACGAGUUAAUAAGGAAAUUAUGUGGAAAAUUGUAACUGUCAGUUAAGUAACUACCCAACCAGACCAAUUAGUCACAGUCAUUUAAACACAAGCAAAACCUAGUUGACAAUUGUGUGACAAACUAAAUAAUGUAAAAUAUACUCGCAACAUUCUCAUGAUUAACUUCAUUAAAAUCUCUUAUAAAAAUAGAAACCAACUGGGUAAAAAAAUCGCCGAUAAAUGAUUCAUCAUACUAAUUUAAAAACU